GUGUGGAUGGCCUAGUGGCCAGUGCAUCUGCCUCGUGAGCAGGAAACCCGGGUUCAAAUCCCGGUCCAGCACA